rnacentral:tRNA from 1 species
GGAUUGUAGCUCAGUGGUAGAGUGCUUGCCCAGCAUGUGUGAGGACCUGGGUUUGAUUCUCAGCACCA